ensembl:lncRNA
ACUGUCAAUGCGUAGGCUACAAUCAAAACAGUGGAGAAAAAUGAGUUGAUAUAUCGCUCAAACAAUGGAAGACAAGCAGAGUGAAGACAUUUUCAGCCAGGGGUCCCAGAAGUUACUCCAGGGCAUCAUUGAACAAGACAUAUAAAACAUACAGAGAUACAGACUAUUACUUAUUAUUUUCUAACUAUUAACUCAGUUAUAACUCAUUUUCUUCUACACAUUAUUAGUAAUGUUAGUUAAUGUUCUUAAUUAAAGAUAUUUAAAAGUCCUACCAAAAAAAAGACUGGGAGCUCCCGUAUAGCUUAAA